UUACCCAAUUCCUAGAGAUUAACUGAUUUAUUUUUUUUAAACUUAAUAGCUCUCUGAAAAUACUGCACACAUAGAAAUGUCACUGUAUGCAAGAUAACAUAUUUAUUAUUUGAACAACUGACUGCCAGACUACUUCUUGUCGGGGAACGCAUUUAAGAUGAGGAAGAAAAAGCAUGAAAACCAUUCAAUCUACCAGAGAAAAUGUGAACCAGAUUUUGUUCAUUUGCAGAUGCUGACUACUGAUUACUUCCAACAUUUUCUAUUUUUAUUCCUCGGGCUGAUUGUUAUUAAACAAAAAUGCUAAACUUCCCUCAGAACUGUUACCACAGAGCUGUAUGCUGCUAAUAUGAAUGUCUAAAAUUCUGUGGCGCUGUGGCAACAGAUAAAAUUCCAAAAAAAUAUUUUUGAAGUUAUAAUUCCAAUAUAAAUGAAUUAUUGCAUAAGCCUAUGUCCUUCAUUCAAAGACAAACUAUCAAUAACUUCUGUUUGUACAGCAAAAGGACUUGAAGAAUGGCUAGUUACAAAGAUCAGAACCUAGAAAAUGUGUUCAGUUGUGUUGAGAAUGUAAUGUGUUACAACAAAAAUUGCACAAAGUUUAAAUUUUGAAAGUAAAUUUAUUAUCAAAGUACAUACAUAGUAUGUUACCAUAUACUACUUUGAGAUUAAUUUUCUUGCAGGCUUUUACAGGGAAAAAAUACAACAGAAUUUACAAAAAAAAUGUUGUUUGUGGCAGCAAGACAUAAUAAUUACUGGAAGUUACAUUAAAUAACAAAGUAAUUGUUGUUUUUUUAAAAAAUCUUUUAAUUAAUUUUAAACAACAUAAAUGAAACAUAAAUUCAGAGAGUUUGAAAGUACAUAAUUAAUAGGUUAAGUAUACAUUCAUGAUGAUAAUCCAUAUACGAUAACCUCCCAAACUCAUAGCAAUUGCAAAAAAAAGGAGUAACAAAGUAAUUGUUGUGAAGUGGAAUAGUGAGAUAGUGUUGAUAGGUUCAUGGACCAUUCAGAAAUCUGAUGGUGGAGAGGUGUAAGCUAUUUCUAAGAUGUUGUGUGUCAGUCUCCAACCUCCUGCACCUUUUUUCUGAUGGCAGUAAGUAGAAGAGGACAUGCUCGGGUGAUAAGGGUCCUUAAUGUUGAGGCACUGAAGCACUGUCUCUUGAAACUGUCCUCAAUGGUGGGUUAUUCCCAUGAUUGAACUGGCUGGCUGUAUAAUCCUCUGCAGCCUCAUUCAAUCCUGCACAUUGGAGCUUCCAUAUCAGCCACUGAUGCAAUCAGUCAGAAUGUUCUCCAUGUUAAAUCUGUAGAAAUUUACAUGAGUCUUUGCUAGCAUACUAAAUCUCCUCAAAAUGCUAAUGAGGUACAGCAGCAGGUGUGCUUUCUUCCUGCAUUAAUGGAAUGGACCCAAAAUAGAUCCUCUGAGAUUUUGAUGCCCUGGAACUGAAACUGCUCACCCUUUCCACCGCUGACCCUUCAACGAGGACUGGUAUGUGUUCUUCUGACUUCUCCUUCUUGACGUCCACGGUCAAUUUCUUGGUUUACUGACGUUGAGUGCAAGGUUGCUGUUGCAACAGCACUCAACCAGCAGAUCAAUCUUCCUCCUGCAUGCCUCCUUGUCACCAUUUGUGAUCCUGCCAACAGCAGUGGUGUUUUUGGAGAAUUUAUAGAUAGCGUUUGAGCUGGCCUAGCCACACAGUCAUGCAUAUAGAAAGAGUAGAACAGUGGGCUAAGCAUGCAUACUUGAGGUACACUGUUGUUGAUUGUCAGCAAGAGGAUGUCAGUACCAAUCUGCAAGCUCGUUGAUCAGCUUGACUGGUUAUUUGCUACUUCCUAUCAUCUCCUUGGACUGCAUACAACAUAAAAGUUUUCAAUCUACCGACAAAGAUUCACAUAGACUACUCAUCUUUCAAGGAUUAUUUAUGAAGCUUGCUAUAUUAAAUGCAAAUAUAUAGCCAAAAUCAAUUAUUCAAUUUGAAAGAUAACACAAUCAAAUUGCAAAGAACAAUAUGUGUUUCUGCCACAACAUGCAUUACCUAGGUGACUGUGGCAGCAACUUCCUAACUUCCACACAAGAUGGACAAGAGUGGUAGAUUCAAUGGGAACACCCUAGCAUCCUGAGCUGGAAAUAAAGUGGAUUGCAUUUAAUUGGAACACAUCAGGACAAGUCCAAUUUGGUCCAAAUUGCAGAAGUUUUACUGAAAUAGGUAAAAGGUUUAAAAAAGGCAAAUUGAGUAACAAAUUGUAUAUUUAAAUGAAAUAUAGAACAAAUUAGAACACUACCAAUACUAAUACAUAAUAUAAAAUUGUGUAUUAGUUCCUAGCAGAACAGUUCUGAAUUGUCUUACUGUUUAUCACCAACUAUCAGUGACAAAAAUCACUGCUUUUUGAACACAAACACAUGCAACUGAUGCUAUUUUAAAACUGUUUGCUCGAAGCACUGUGUUGUGUCUAAUGACCAAGCAAACGCACACGACUAACGCUAGUUAGAAGCGGCAACACUCUCCAGCCCCAAUGAAGCUGCAUAGUUCCCAAAUAAAUGAAGGGAAUCCCGGCUAUUUUCUUGAUUAGUUUUUGUCUUUUAAGAAUUGUUCCAAUCAAGUGGCUGCCCUGCUUAACCAAUGACCCAAUUAAUUAAUGACCCAUUGUAUAUCCGCAAUUCCUUAUCAUCACAGGCUCCAAGUCUUGGAG